CAGUAGCCGCGGGAAUACGGAGGGGGCUAGCGUUGUUCGGAAUUACUGGGCGUAAAGCGCACGUAGGCGGCUUGGUAAGUUAGAGGUGAAAGCCCGGGGCUCAACCCCGGAAUUGCCUUUAAGACUGCCGAGCUAGUAGGUGAGAGAGGUGAGUGGAAUUCCGAGUGUAGAGGUGAAAUUCGUAGAUAUUCGGAAGAACACCAGUGGCGAAGGCGGCUCACUGGCUCAUUCUAGACGCUGAGGUGCGAAAGCGUGGGGAGCAAACAGGAUUAGAUACCCGCGUAGUCCCUGUCUCUUAUAC
rnacentral:rRNA from 1 species